CACUGGGGGACUUUUUUGAGGCUACAGAAGUAACACAUGACAUCUUUCUCCCUCGAAUUAAAAUGUGACUUGGUUCACCGGUUAAAACGCAGAGGGAGAUGGAAAUGACCAGGAGUCGAAAGGAGAAGUAACAAUGCCUGGAUUUUAUUCAGAUGCUGUGUACCCAGCCAAAAGACUACAUUUCUCAAUCUCCAUUGUAGCUGGAUGUGGCUGUGUGAUCAAGUUAUGACCAAUGAGAUAUAAGUAGAAGUAGCUUGGCCAGACACAGUGGCUCACACCUGUAAUCCCAGCCCUUUGGGAGGCCAAAGCAGGAGGAUCACUUGCACUCAGGAGUUGGAAACUGCAGACCAGCCUGGAGAACACAGUGACACCUUGUCUCUACACAAAAUGAAAAAGUUAGCAGGGUAUGGUGGCAUGUGCCUGUGGUCCCAGCUACUUCCAGCUACUUGGGAGGCUAAAAUGGAAGGAUCGCUUGAGCCUGGGAGAUUGAGGCCUCAGUGAGCCAUGAUCAUGCCACUGUACUCCAGCCUGGGUGACAAGAGCAAGACCCUGUCUCUCAAAAAAAAAAAAACGCGGCUGGGUGGAACAUCUGGAAAACAUCUUUAAAGAACGCUGACUCAAUCAGGAGGAGCACCAUUUUGUUUCUUGCCCUCUGCCCUUCCUGCCUGAAACAGGCAUUGCCAUUCUCUUCAAAACAUAUUUGAAAAAUGUCCAGGCUUCUCAUCUCUGUGUAAAACUGUUCAGUUUGUUCCAGUGUGACGAGAAGAAAUUGGACUGAGCAUACUUUUUUGUGAGACAUCCAUUUUCUUCCUUUGAUGAAUUUGACAACUUGUGACAAUUCUCACAUUUUGGAACAAGUCUCCUAAUUAUAGAAGAAGCUAAUAAUGAUAAUAUAAGAAAUUAUAAAUUA
ensembl:lncRNA ACTR3-AS1 ACTR3 antisense RNA 1